UACGUAGGGUGCAAGCGUUAAUCGGAAUUACUGGGCGUAAAGCGUGCGCAGGCGGUUGUGUAAGACAGGUGUGAAAUCCCCGGGCUUAACCUGGGAAUUGCAUUUGUGACUGCACGACUAGAGUGUGUCAGAGGGGGUGGAAUUCCACGUGUAGCAGUGAAAUGCGUAGAUAUGUGGAGGAACACCAAUGGCGAAGGCAGCCCCCUGGGAUAACACUGACGCUCAUGCACGAAAGCGUGGGGAGCAAACAGG
rnacentral:rRNA from 1 species